GAACAUACCUUACUGUUGCCUCGGCGGAUCAGCCCGCUCCCGGUAAAACGGGACGGCCCGCCAGAGGACCCCUAAACUCUGUUUCUAUAUGUAACUUCUGAGUAAAACCAUAAAUAAAUCAAAACUUUCAACAACGGAUCUCUUGGUUCUGGCAUCGAUGAAGAACGCAGCAAAAUGCGAUAAGUAAUGUGAAUUGCAGAAUUCAGUGAAUCAUCGAAUCUUUGAACGCACAUUGCGCCCGCCAGUAUUCUGGCGGGCAUGCCUGUUCGAGCGUCAUUUCAACCCUCAAGCCCUCGGGUUUGGUGUUGGGGAUCGGCGAGCCUUUCUGGCAAGCCGGCCCCGAAAUCUAGUGGCGGUCUCGCUGCAGCCUCCAUUGCGUAGUAGUAAAACCCUCGCAACUGGAACGCGGCGCGGCCAAGCCGUUAAACCCCCAACUUCUGAAUGUUGACCUCGGAUCAGGUAGGAAUACCCGCUGAACUUAAGCAUAUCAAA
rnacentral:rRNA from 1 species